AUCCUUCAUGAGCGUGAUGAUUGGGUGUUCAUGCCAUAUGCAGGAGAUGUGCCUCCCUCAAAUCUUGUUACAACGUCAGCACAUUACCCAUCUGAUG
ensembl:snoRNA